rnacentral:rRNA from 1 species
UACGUAGGGUGCAAGCGUUGUCCGGAAUUAUUGGGCGUAAAGAGCUCGUAGGCGGUCUGUCGCGUCGAUCGUGAAAACUUGGGGCUUAACCCUGAGCUUGCGGUCGAUACGGGCAUGACUGGAGUUCGGCAGGGGAGACUGGAAUUCCUGGUGUAGCGGUGAAAUGCGCAGAUAUCAGGAGGAACACCGGUGGCGAAGGCGGUUCUCUGGGAAUAUCCUGACGCUGAGGAGCGAAAGUGUGGGGAGCGAACAGG